CACGCUAGUGAAAUUCUACAUAUUUCCGGGCAGGUAUUUCAAGAAAGAGAGGAGAGAAGCGUGAACCACUACUGCUGUUGGCAAAGUCAAACCGCGCAACAGCGUUCGCAGCCGCUGUCGACACUCCGGGUCCUUCAAGAGGCACCGUCGGCCAGCAACAACCGAAGACGACGGAGACUCGAGCGUAAUCGCAGAGCAUCGGAACGCACUGAAGGUACAUACGACACCACGCUAGUCACCAGUUGCGUCGGCAGCUAUUGUAUGCAGAUGGUAAAGAGUCGCAAGCAUCAUAAUACGGUCUGCCCAUUGUGCCGUUGAUAUCAGGCGAUUCUUGAGUUCCUGUGUGUUCACCAGCGACGCAUGCAGUCUGCACCCUGAGUACGUAUCAAGACAUUAGAAGAUCAAAGCGAGUCAAGUGCAAGUCAAGCCCU